GUAAGUGAGCAUGGCACAGGCAGGAGUUGUUUAAGAUAAGUUACAUCUUAGCUAAUCCAGCGACAUCUGCAUACAUCUUACGCCUUUGGCAGCAUCGUGGCUCCAUCGAACCAUGGUGGUCUUGGCUGUAGUCCUAAGUGGUGUGGCCUUCACCCAGCCUUUCAUAAACAGGAGGGGAUGGAGCGAUGCACCGCAUCCGAGUCUCUGGGAGGGGAGAGAGGAGCUCUUCUCCAAGUUCACCGUAAAGCCCAGGUGCUACAGAAUUAUGACCAGUGCCACCUUCUGUAGCGCCGCCCCCUUUCUGGAGCGGGCUAGCAGCAGCCGGUCGUCCAAAUAAAAGAGCACCUUCAGGCCCCUCCGGCGUAGCGGCUCCAGAGCAGUCUCAACUCCGGUUUCCAUGUGCAGCCCGACAGCAGCUGCUGUGGUCAGGGAAACAACCAUGUACCUGUGCGGUACAAGAACCGGGAUGGGGGAAGGUGUAUAGCAGCCAAUUGGGCCACAGAGGAUGCGCAAAAGCAUCCACCCCAGUGGGGGAGCAUCCCGAGACCUCAGGGAGAAAUGCAGAAACUUUCUAUGUUUCAAAAUGAUGGAAAUGUGGAAGUACGAGUCCUUCAGUUAGAUGGAGGUGAGCCACUCUCCCUACCGCACACACUCAAAUGUCUUAUCAUCAACAUGUGAAACGGCUGUUAUUGCUCUUUUUUACAUUAUAGUUUAAUUGUUAUUAUUAUCUUAAUCAUAGUUUAUAGUUUGAUUGUUAUUACCUUAAUGAUAGUCAGAAUGUGAUUAUUGUUGAGUAUGUUAUUGAUGUUAUUGAUGUAAGGUUGAAUCAUACUGUGUGUAUGCUUAUUCACUAUUAUCAGCAGACUGUACUCUGAGUUAUUGAAAGGUCAAGGGAGAGUCACGGGCUUGAGGGAGAUAAGGAUCCAGGUGCACCAGCAUAACAAAUAUCAGUCUUUAAAGCACACAAGACAACACCAAGAAAACACAUGUUGGUCUGUCAGCACACGUUAGCAUCAGAACACGCUUAAAUGAGUAAACCCACAGAGCAAACUGACAGAUGGCUGAUUGUUUAUGCCAAGAAAUAUUGGUUUCAAAGGACCCCUUAGGGAGUGCUAAAGGUUCAAGGACAAUAGUUUUGAGGAACCCCUUAGAGUGGAAAAUUCCAAACAGUCUGUUGAGUGCCAUGGUUGAUUUGAAAUGAUUGUGUAACCAGAAAACAUGUUAACCUUUUAAAUCUUAUUUGUUUAAGCUAAGUAAAUUUGACCUUCUGGAGGUUCUAAUGGUGAAUUAGGACUAGAGCAUUCAAAAAAUAUAAAAAGGAUGUUGUUACGACAAUUUAUUGUUAAAAAUAGUUAACUUUGAUUAGACAAAAAGUAAAAUGAUUAAUAGCACAUGAAGUAAAUCAGUACACUAAAGCUGCCACUAGAUGGCAGCAGAGGAUAAGACAUUCAUCAUCAGAACGAGCCAGAAAGGGUGCGGUCAGCAAACAUAGAGGAGGAGAUAACGUAGAAAUCCCAAUUUAGUGGGCAAAGACUGAGGAUUAUAAAAGGAGAUGUUCGCUGACUGCGCACUCAGUUCCAAGCAUGUAACUCGGGUUUUCGUCUUUUACAGAAAUAAAAACUCUUUUCCAUC